rnacentral:lncRNA from 1 species
UACCACAUACAGAUUUAUACUAGAGUAACCUAGACACCGAUCUUUGAAUCGAAUUUGAUCUUUCGUCUCAAGUUAGGUCAUAGCUUCUGCUGUUUCUUCUCCAAGAUGACCAAGACACAGGCACAAGAGAACCAACCUCCAGCAGGUACCUUCUUUCUGUGCGACAAAUUUUAUUUUUAUCCUUACGAUAUAGCAGGACUCACUUCUGUUUUUUUUUUUUUAUAAAUAUAUUUUUAAAUAUGGUUUUGGUUUGAAGGAUACCCAACUGCAUCUGGGAAUCCCCCAACUGGGAAGAAGUUUAGGCCUCGGACAAAAAAGAAGGGAGACAAGGGCUUUAUUGAGGGAUGGUAAGUUGUUAGACAUCUUAUUUUGCAUCAGUUUUUUUUCCUUUCAAUCAUCAUUGUAAAAAUUUCUUAAAUCUUAGAAAAGCAAGAGACCUGCUACCUAACUCAUAAGUCACCAACAGCGUCUAGCCCAGUAAAAAAGAGCCUUGACUUGCAAACCAAUGGUCUCAAGUUCUAACCUCAUGGCCCAUUGGUACUGUGUGUGAGUAACCCCCUCCCCCUUGUAGUUUAGACUAUCGAUUGUAUUAAAAAAUAAAAAUAAAAUAAAAAAACUCACAAGCCAAAAUCCAAUAGAAUCACUGCAGAAAUUAGUGGACUUGUACCUAAAACCCAAAUUACUGCAUCCCCGAGCACUAUGGAUCUCCUCAUAGUGGAACCUAUUCGUCCUAUACUUGUAGCAUUCAAAACUGCCUACUUUUUUCCCUAGUCCUGUCAAUUGAUGCUAAUCAUUUUGUUUCUUUUGUGAUAUCUAUUGGUGCAGCCUCUUCGCCUUAUGCUGCUGUUGGCUUUGUGAGGAAUGCUUCUGAAUUUACUAUAAGCACGACUACCAUAAUAGCUUCUUAGCUUACUCUUUUAUCUUUGUUUAGCUUGGGGCGGUUACCUGACUGUUAUUAUUUUUCCCUGUGUAUCCACAUAUUGUAAUAAUAUACCAUCAU